GAUGAACGCUAGCUACAGGCUUAACACAUGCAAGUCGCGGGGCAGCAUGGGGGUUGCUUGCAAUCCCCGAUGGCGACCGGCGCACGGGUGAGUAACGCGUAUCCAACCUGCCCCUCACCACGGGAUAACCCGGCGAAAGUCGGACUAAUACCGUAUGUUGUCCAUUGACGGCAUCCGAUUUGGACGAAAGGCUUGGCGGUGAGGGAUGGGGAUGCGUCCGAUUAGCCAGACGGCGGGGUAACGGCCCACCGUGGCUACGAUCGGUAGGGGUUCUGAGAGGAAGGUCCCCCACACUGGAACUGAGACACGGUCCAGACUCCUACGGGAGGCAGCAGUGAGGAAUAUUGGUCAAUGGGCGUAAGCCUGAACCAGCCAAGUAGCGUGCAGGAGGACGGCCCUAUGGGUUGUAAACUGCUUUUAUGCGGGGAUAAAGUGGCCCACGUGUGGGCUUUUGCAGGUACCGCAUGAAUAAGGACCGGCUAAUUCCGUG
rnacentral:rRNA from 1 species